rnacentral:rRNA from 1 species
CCUACGGGGGACUGCAGUAGGGAAUUUUCGGCAAUGGGGGGAACCCUGACCGAGCAACGCCGCGUGAAGGAAGAAGGAAUUCGUUCUGUAAACUUCUGUUAUAAAGGAAGAAAGACGGAUGGAGGAAAUGACAUCCGAGUGACGGUACUUUAUGAGAAAGCCACGGCUAACUAAGGGCCAGCAGCCGCGGUAAUACGUAGGUGGCAAGCGAUAUCAGGAAUUAUGGGGCGUAAAGAUGGAGCAGUCGGCAGCAAAGGUCUGUGGUGAAAGACUGAAGCUUAACUUCAGUAAGCCAUAGAAACCGGGCAGCUGGAGUGCAGGAGAGGAUCGUGGAAUUCCAUGUGUAGCGGUGAAAUGCGUAGAUAUAUGGAGGAACACCAGUGGCGAAGGCGACGAACUGGCCUGCAACUGACGCUCAGUCCCGAAAGCGUGGGGAGCAAAUAGGAUUAGAUACCCUUGUAGUC